UACGUAGGGGGCAAGCGUUGUCCGGAAUCAUUGGGCGUAAAGAGCGUGUAGGCGGCCCGAUAAGUCCGCUGUGAAAGUCCAGGGCUCAACCCUGGGAUGCCGGUGGAUACUGUCGGGCUCGAGUCCGGAAGAGGAGUGUGGAAUUCCUGGUGUAGCGGUGGAAUGCGCAGAUAUCAGGAGGAACACCUAUAGCGAAGGCAGCUCGCUGGGACGGUACUGACGCUGAGGCGCGAAAGCGUGGGGAGCGAACAGG
rnacentral:rRNA from 1 species